CCCGACUGCUAUCGGAGUGGGACUAAGCCAUGCGAGUCCUGCGUUCCCGGCUGUGGGGACGCGGCGCACGGCUCAGUAACACGUAGUCAACCUGCCCUGGAGACGCGGAUAAUCCCGGGAAACUGGGGCUAAUCCGCGAUAGGCCUAGGGUGCUGGAAGGCCCAUAGGCUGAAAGGGGCAGGCGGGCAUGCUCCGUCUGUCCGCUCCAGGAUGGGACUGCGGCCGAUCAGGUUGUUGGUGGGGUAAUGGCCCACCAAGCCUAUAACCGGUACGGGCUCUGAGAGGAGGAGCCCGGAGAUGGGCACUGAGACAAGGGCCCAGGCCCUACGGGGCGCAGCAGGCGCGAAACCUCCACAAUGCGCGAAAGCGCGAUGGGGUCACUCCGAGUGCCACCCGCUGAGGGUGGCUUUUCCCGGGCCUAAAAAGCCCGGGGAAUAAGGGGAGGGCAAGCCUGGUGUCAGCCGCCGCGGUAAUACCAGCUCCCCGAGUGGUCGGGACGAUUAUCGGGCCUAAAGCAUCCGUAGCCGGCCCAGUAGGUCUCCUGUUAAAUCCAACGGCUCAACCGUUGGGCCGCAGGAGAUACCGCCGGGCUAGGGGGCGGGAGAGGCGGACGGUAUUCCGCGGGCAGGGGUAAAAUCCUCUGAUCCGCGGAGGACCACCAGUGGCGAAGGCGGUCCGCCAGAACGCGCCCGACGGUGAGGGAUGAAAGCUGGGGGAGCGAACCGGAUUAGAUACCCGGGUAGUCCCAGCUGUAAACGAUGCGGGCUAGGUGCUGGAAGGGCUACGGGCCUUUCCAGUGCCGCAGGGAAGCCGUUAAGCCCGCCGCCUGGGGAGUACGGCCGCAAGGCUGAAACUUAAAGGAAUUGGCGGGGGAGCACCACAAGGGGUGAAGCCUGCGGUUC
rnacentral:rRNA from 1 species